AGCAGCCGCGGUAAUUCCAGCUCCAAUAGCGUAUAUUAAAGUUGUUGCAGUUAAAAAGCUCGUAGUUGAAUUUCGGGAUCAAGGAAUCGGUCAUGCCUUGGUAUGUACUGGUUUUAUUGGUUCUCACCUUCUAAAGAACCAUAAUGUCAUUUAUUUGAUGUUAUGGGGAAUUAGGACUGUUACCUUGAAAAAAUUAGAGUGUUUAAAGCAAGCUUACGCUUGAAUACAUUAGCAUGGAAUAAUGAAAUAGGACAUCAGAUUCUAUUUUGUUGGUUUCUAGGAUCGAUGUAAUGAUUAAUAGGGAUAGUUGGGGGCAUUAGUAUUCAAUUGUCAGAGGUGAAAUUCUUGGAUUUAUUGAAGACUAACUACUGCGAAAGCAUUUGCCAAGGAUGUUUUCAUUAAUCAAGAACGAAAGUUAGGGGAUCGAAGACGAUCAGAUACCGUCGUAGUCUUAACCAUAAACUAUGCCGACUAGGGAUCGGAUGAUGUUAAUUUUUUAAUGACUCAUUCGGCACCUUACGGGAAACCAAAGUGUUU
rnacentral:rRNA from 1 species